UGGUAAUACUGAGAAAAAGGACACUUCCAUCAUCUAUCUCUAUUAAAUGGUCUCCUUUAAAACAACCAGAGAUGGGCCCUGAAGGUGCAAACCAUAAUCUUGACGCAUUUUCAGACAAGAAUGAC
rnacentral:ribozyme from 1 species